rnacentral:rRNA from 1 species
GGCGCACGGGUGAGGUAACGCGUAUACAAUCUGCCUUAUACAGAGGGAUAGCCUUUAGAAAUGAAGAUUAAUACCUUAUAGUCUAUUUUUAUAGCAUUAUAUAAAUAGUAAAGCUUCGGUGGUAUAAGAUGAGUAUGCGUCCUAUUAGUUAGUUGGUAAGGUAACGGCUUACCAAGACAACGAUAGGUAGGGGCCCUGAGAGGGGGAUCCCCCACACUGGUACUGAGACACGGACCAGACUCCUACGGGAGGCAGCAGUGAGGAAUCUUAGACAAUGGGCGCAAGCCUGAUCUAGCGAUGCCGCGUGAGUGACGAAGGCCUUAGGGUCGUAAAGCUCUUUCGCCAAGGAUGAUAAUGACAGUACUUGGUAAAGAAACCCCGGCUAACUCCGUGCCAGCAGCCGCGGUAAUACGGAGGGGGUUAGCGUUGUUCGGAAUUACUGGGCGUAAAGCGCACGUAGGCGGAUCAAUAAGUUAGAGGUGAAAUCCCAGGGCUCAACCCUGGAACUGCCUUUAAUACUGUUGGUCUAGAGUUCGAGAGAGGUAAGUGGAAUUCCGAGUGUAGAGGUGAAAUUCGUAGAUAUUCGGAGGAACACCAGUGGCGAAGGCGGCUUACUGGCUCGAUACUGACGCUGAGGUGCGAAAGUGUGGGGAGCAAACAGGAUUAGAUACCCUCGUAGUCCAUGCCGUAAACGAUGUGUGUUAGACGUUGGAAAUUUAUUUUCAGUGUCGCAGGGAAACCGAUAAAACACACCGCCUGGGGAGUACGACCGC